CACUAAGGGACAGGAUUUAGUGGUGGACUGAGCAGUGUUAGGUGGUGGUUGGACAUAGAUGAUCUUGAAGGUCUUUUCCAACCUAGAUCUUCGUAUGAUUCUAAGACAGGAAGUAUUUUGAGCUGUGUUGAGUGCUGUAUCUUGAGUUAUUGUCUCUGUAUUUAUUACAUUUUCAUAUUUUUAGAAUAUGCAACAACUGUAAUAUUCCUGAGGAGAUAAGUGCUUCCUCUUUAAUGUAGGUCAUUGCACUUCACAAAGUGGAUGUCAGAAGAUUUGUCUGUUUUUCAGAAGCAAGGUACUGGAAGAAGGAAAACAGAACUUUGUUUAUACCAGUCACUUGUUCUGAGAGGCCCCAGCUGUUCAUUUGACUUCUGUUUUUUGGAUUUGAAACUACCAAGAAGGGCUGUUGAUGGCUUCCUGACGUGCUUAACAUUGCCCUGGGCAAACAGUUCAUCUAUGAUCACAUCUUCUAUGAGACCUGCUCUGUCUACUACAUCAGUAAAACCUUUAUAUGGUUGCAAACAAUAAUUAAUGUCUCCAGCAAGGAUCUGUUGAGUCUUAUGAGUGGUGGAAAGUCAUGUAGGAAGGAGAUGAUUUUUCAUGCAGUGUUAGGAAUAUUGGUGGUGGUCCAAAGAGGCUACUUAUGCUAAAAAAUGGAGCAUGAGAUUGAAGGCCAUUGAAAGAGAAUGACUCCUUCUGGAAGAGGAAAGAUGCAGACCAAAGAGAAACUUAGUCAAAAAAUGACUGAAGUGAUCAUAAAGCUUCUACAGCCUUCAAAUGUGUUUGAGACAACUUCUAAUGGCAUUCCAAGUGAGUUUUUUUUUCUUCAACUAUGUGAAAGUUUGAAGCAAAAUGAAACUAUAUGGUAAAUUGAUUUGUUUCCUCCAAGCUUCAUUUUGUUAGGCCAAAAGGUCAAUGCCCUAUAGUAGAGUCAGAGUUCAAUUUACAUCUUCUAAAACCAGAGGUGAGGCACAGGUGGAGACAAAGUUCAGAGCAAUCUAGAAAAUUUGGUGAUAAAAAUGGAGGAAUAUCAAAACACAAGCUGAAAAUAUGCAGUUUUUGAAAUUUUUGGUCUUGGGUUUUAGUUA